GUUUCAGACUAGAAAGAGACGUUCAACGAAGUUAAAGUACUGUACUAGCUAGUCAUGCAUGCAGCAUGCAACAGGCAAGUACAAAUCAAAAUGACAUGUGUACUAUUAUUGCAAAGGCAUUCAAAGAUGAAAUUUACAAGUGAUCAAGAAGAAAGAGGAAAUUAUUCACACAGACAAUCAAUUUAAGUUCAUUGAUAAUUAUAAAGGUAAUAAUUAAUAAAUACUAAUCCUCACUCCUCCCUCUCCAUGAUCUCAUGUUUUGGUUCCUUAACCUAUCUUGAAGGCUUUAUUGCAGUACAUCAUAGAGAACUUCACACUAGCAACCAUAAAUAAUUAUGAGAAGUAAUAUUUAAUCGUACUUGCAUCUUGUAAGAAUGCUGCAGAAUAGCCUAAUGAAUGGGAGAAUGUGGUGGCAAGGGAGGCCAUUUUCCGAAUUUGGGGUGGUGGAAGUACUUUGGAGGAAUCUUGGGGUAAGGAGGAAGCUUAGGAAGAGGGCAUGGCUUCUUAUGAAAUGGAGGGAUCUUUGGGAUUGGAGGCAGUGGCUUAUAAAUUGGAACGGGAGGUGGUAAAGGCUUGUAGAUGGGAAUAGGAGGUGGUAGAGGCUUGAAGAUUGGUGGUUUUGGUUUUGGCUUGUAAAUUGGCACUGGAGGUGGCUUGAAGAUUGGUGGUUUUGGUUUUGGCUUGUAAAUUGGCACUGGAGGUGGCUUGAAGAUUGGUUCUUGUGGAUUGGAGGGAAGACCUUUGGUGGGAGAGGAGGGAAAAUCUUUUGAGGGAGUGGAGGAAAGACCUUAGGUGGGAAUAGGUAAGGAUGGUGAAAGUUUUUCGAUGGUGGAAGUUUCCAUGUAGGCAAUGGAAGCGGUUUAGUUAUCGGUGGAUGAGGCCACAAGAAUGCAGAAGUGCAAGUAACAGGUGAAAAUUUCAGUUUCCCUGCCAGCCCGAAUGUGUGUUUCUCAUCAGUUUUCGACU
rnacentral:lncRNA from 1 species